GUCCNCAUCGUCUAGAGGCCUAGGACACCGCCCUUUCACGGCGGUAACAGGGGUUCGAAUCCCCUUGGGGACGCCA
rnacentral:tRNA from 1 species